rnacentral:sRNA from 1 species
GACACUGAAUUUGGAAGGUGGAGGAUUUUGUUUUUUCUUUUAAGAUUUGGGCAUCUUUUGAAUCUACCCUUCAAGUAUUAAGAGACAGACUGUGAGCCUAGCAGGGCAGAUCUUGUCCACCGUGUGUCUUCUUCUGCACGAGACUUUGAGGCUGUCAGAGCGCUUUUUGCGUGGUUGCUCCCGCAAGUUUCCUUCUCUGGAGCUUCCCGCAGGUGGGCAGCUAGCUGCAGCGACUACCGCAUCAUCACAGCCUGUUGAACUCUUCUGAGCAAGAGAAGGGGAGGCGGGGUAAGGGAAGUAGGUGGAAGAUUCAGCGAAGCUCAAGGAUGGAGGUGCAGUUAGGGCUGGGGAGGGUCUACCCUCGGCCGCCGUCCAAGACCUACCGAGGAGCUUUCCAGAAUCUGUUCCAGAGCGUGCGCGAAGUGAUCCAGAACCCGGGCCCCAGGCACCCAGAGGCCGCGAGCGCAGCACCUCCCGGCGCCAGUUUGCAGCAGCAGCAGCAGCAGCAGCAGCAGCAGCAGCAGCAGCAGCAGCAAGAGACUAGCCCCAGGCAGCAGCAGCAGCAGGGUGAGAAUGGUUCUCCCCAAGCCCAUCGUAGAGGCCCCACAGGCUACUUGGUCCUGGAUGAGGAACAGCAGCCUUCACAGCCGCAGUCGGCCCCGGAGUGCCACCCCGAGAGAGGUUGCGUCCCAGAGCCUGGAGCCGCCGUGGCCGCCAGCAAGGGGCUGCCGCAGCAGCUGCCAGCACCUCCGGACGAGAAUGACUCAGCUGCCCCAUCCACGUUGUCCCUGCUGGGCCCCACUUUCCCCGGCUUAAGCAGCUGCUCUGCCGACCUUAAAGACAUCCUGAGCGAGGCCAGCACCAUGCAACUCCUUCAGCAACCGCAGCAGGAAGCAGUAUCCGAAGGCAGCAGCAGCGGGAGAGCGAGGGAGGCCUCGGGGGCUCCCACUUCCUCCAAGGACAAUUACUUAGGGGGCACUUCGACCAUUUCUGACAGCGCCAAGGAGUUGUGUAAGGCAGUGUCGGUGUCCAUGGGCCUGGGUGUGGAGGCGUUGGAGCAUCUGAGUCCAGGGGAACAGCUUCGGGGGGAUUGCAUGUAUGCCCCACUUUUGGGAGUUCCACCCGCUGUGCGUCCCACUCCUUGUGCCCCAUUGGCCGAAUGCAAAGGUUCUCUGCUAGACGACAGCGCAGGCAAGAGCACUGAAGAUACUGCUGAGUAUUCCCCUUUCAAGGGAGGUUACACCAAAGGGCUAGAAGGCGAGAGCCUAGGCUGCUCUGGCAGCGCUGCAGCAGGGAGCUCCGGGACACUUGAACUGCCGUCCACCCUGUCUCUCUACAAGUCCGGAGCACUGGACGAGGCAGCUGCGUACCAGAGUCGCGACUACUACAACUUUCCACUGGCUCUGGCCGGGCCGCCGCCCCCUCCGCCGCCUCCCCAUCCCCACGCUCGCAUCAAGCUGGAGAACCCGCUGGACUACGGCAGCGCCUGGGCGGCUGCGGCGGCGCAGUGCCGCUAUGGGGACCUGGCGAGCCUGCAUGGCGCGGGUGCAGCGGGACCCGGCUCUGGGUCACCCUCAGCCGCCGCUUCCUCAUCCUGGCACACACUCUUCACAGCCGAAGAAGGCCAGUUGUAUGGACCGUGUGGUGGUGGUGGUGGUGGGGGCGGCGGCGGCGGCGGUGGCGGCGGCGGCGGCGGCGGCGGCGGCGGCGAGGCGGGAGCUGUAGCCCCCUACGGCUACACUCGGCCACCUCAGGGGCUGGCGGGCCAGGAAGGCGACUUCACCGCACCUGAUGUGUGGUACCCUGGCGGCAUGGUGAGCAGAGUGCCCUAUCCCAGUCCCACUUGUGUCAAAAGCGAGAUGGGCCCCUGGAUGGAUACCUACUCCGGACCUUACGGGGACAUGCGUUUGGAGACUGCCAGGGACCAUGUUUUGCCCAUUGACUAUUACUUUCCACCCCAGAAGACCUGCCUGAUCUGUGGAGAUGAAGCUUCUGGGUGUCACUAUGGAGCUCUCACAUGUGGAAGCUGCAAGGUCUUCUUCAAAAGAGCCGCUGAAGGGAAACAGAAGUACCUGUGUGCCAGCAGAAAUGAUUGCACUAUUGAUAAAUUCCGAAGGAAAAAUUGUCCAUCUUGUCGUCUUCGGAAAUGUUAUGAAGCAGGGAUGACUCUGGGAGCAGCUGUUGUUGUUUCUGAAAGAAUCUUGAAGGUGGUUGGAGUCUCAGAAUGGCUUCCUUAAAGACUACCUUCAGACUCUCAGCUGCUCAACCACAACAGAGAUCAGCCUUUCUUUGUAGAUGAUUCAUUCCUGGCUGCAUUUGAAAACCACAUAUUGUUAAUUGCUUGAAGAAUUUAAAUCCCUUGACUACUUUUCAUUUCAGAAAA